AUGAUCAGUAGCUGCACCACUAGAAAGAUGACGGAGCAAGAGCAAAGAAAAAUCCUUUUGGUUCCAGAAAAUCUCCUGAAAAAUAGGAGGUCUUAUCAAGCCCUCAAAGCCACCCAGGCAAAGCAGGCACUUUUGGCAAAGAAGGAGCAGAGGAAAGGAAAAGGGCUCAGGUUUAAGCGACUGGAAUCAUUCCUACAUGAUUCCUGGCAGGAGAAACGUGACAAGGUGCAUCUCAGAUGACUAGAAGCGAAACUUCAUGCCUUGGAAUUGCCAGAUAAACAUUCCUUGGCCUUGGUUGUAUGCAUCAAAAGGAUUGAUGGUGUGAGUUUACUGGUGCAGAGAACCAUUGCAAGACUUCGCCUAAAGAAAAUUUUUAGUGGUGUCUUUGUAAAAAGUCACCCCCUAGAACCUAAAAACGCUACGUAUAGUGGAACCUUAUGUGACCUGAGGAUUUCCAAAUCUGAAGUCUGUCGGGGAACUCAUUUUGAAACAUGGACCAGCCAAGGUCAAGAAUAAGACCAUCGGCCAGACCAUCCCUCUGACAGACAACACAGUGAUUGAGGAGGACCUGGGGAAGUUUGGUGUCAUUUGCCUGGAAGACCUCAUUCAUUAAAUUGCCUUCCCAGGGAAGCAUUUCCAGGAGCUCUCAUGGUUCUUGCGUCCUUUCCACCUCUCAGUGGCCCAAGAUGCUACCAAAAAUAGAGUGGGCUUCCUCAAGGAGAUGGGCACACCUGGUUAUCAGGGUGAAUGCAUCAAUCAGCUCAUCUGUCAGCUGAACUAGACUCAGGUGCCAAACCGAUAAAUUUUUAUCAAUGAAGUGGAAGCAUGUGUUUUUGUUGUUUUGGGAAUUUUUAUCAAGUACUUCAGAGAUUAUUUCCUGCUUUAUCUUCAAAAACUGAAAAGAAAAGACAGUAGCUGGCCAGGCACGAUGGCUCAAGCCUAUAAUCCCAACACUUUGGGAGGCUGAGGCGGGCGUAUCACCUGAGGUCAGGAGUUUGAGACCAGCCUGACCAACAUGGAGAAAUGCCGUCUUUAGUAAAAAUAUAAAAAUUAGCUGGGCGUGGUGGCGCAUGCCUGUAAUCCCAGCUACUCGGGAGGCUAAGGUGGGAGAACCGCUGGAACCUAGGAGGCGGAGGUUGUGGUGAGCAGAGAUCACACCAUUGCGCUCCAGCCUGGGCAACGAGAGCAAAACUCCGUCUCAAAAAAAGAAAAGAAAAGACAGUAGCUUAUGUUCAUGGCAAGCACUUCUCAUCACAGUGCAGUUCCAAGGAAAACUUCCAGCAUUUUCUACAUUGGGUGCCACGUCAUCUGAAAUCAGCACAUUCCAUGGAGGAAGGAGUCUUGCUCUGUUGCAUCUAUCCUAGGGUUUAAUGUUGAUAAAUGAGUAACUCUAGCAUUUGUAAAAGGCUCCUUAAGGCUCCUGCAGCAGCCGACCAAGCCCAAGGACAUAACUGAAUCUGGAGAGUCCUGGGGCCUUGUUUUGAAAAAGACUUGAAAUACACAUAGGAAGAAAGCCAUAAAAAUAAAUGUUCACUUGUCUCUGAAAAAAAAAAAGAA